AGUAAAUCUGGUACGCAAUGCGUUUUCGUGAUUCAUGUUUUGGAAGUCAUCUGAUACCCAUUUUUGUACCACACGCGACAUUGUCAAUCAAGCAUAGUAGUGGCAUCUAACGAGUCCUAUCCUCAGUCAAUGGCAGCGGCACAGAUGAGGAAACGGGUGUAGUUAAUGGUAAUAACAUCACUGACGAAGAAAAAAAUAGAUGUAACAUGUAAUCGUUUUUCAUGUUCCGCUACCGAUGAGUUACAGAAGUCUCUAUCUUUACAAGGUGGCAUUGACCAAAUACAUAAUAUAUCACAUUAUUCAUAUGAGACAAUGAAUGGAAUAUGGACCUUACCUGCUUAGACAAUAAGAAUGCAACAUCUCGAUGGAUGGAGCUAUGUAUUUGAUUCUGAUGUGGUACAUAUUCCUAGAGGGAAUAAUAUUUGAUUAUGUUUUUGUAUCUUGAUAUACCAGUCUUCAAACCCAAAUCCUAAGGUGCAAGGAAUAUAUGUAAAGUAAAAAAUGUAACAUCGAUGUCAAAGUAAAAUAGCCUUUAUUACAUCGUGAAACGAGGACAAUUUAAUGAACGUUCAACAAUUGCUAGAAUUCUUUCUCUCACUUACUUUCUCUCCCUCCCGUUCUUCCUUUCACACGCACACACAUUCCUUUUCAUUCUCUCUUUUCAUUCACAUCAUUCAGUUUCGACUGUUUACACAUUUAAUCUCGCACCUCUUUUCUCCUUCUUCGUUUCUUUUCUUGCGUUACGCGCUGUUCUCUCUCACCAACGUCUGACAUAAUUUCGCGUGCUCGUAAUGUUCUUCGAGAAUAAUGCAUUACAGGACACAUACUUUGUCAUCAUGUCAAACAUAAACUCGUUCGAUUUAUCUCCAUAAUUAAUUCCUCAUAUCCUGUCUCUUCUGUCCGCCCAUAAUUUCAUCACGAUCUCUAAGAUCGUUAACGGUUCUAACAUUAUACUCUUCCUUCUCAAUUUCUUUGUCUUAUUCUUUCUUUCUUUCCUGUUCCUUAUCCAUGUUUUUCUAUUAGUAGGCGGUACAUCAAUAGCAUACACCAUUCAGAUCGAUUCCAAAACUGCACUCUCUCU